GACGUAGGGCGCGAGCGUUGUCCGGAUUUAUUGGGCGUAAAGAGCGUGUAGGCGGCCAGAUAAGUCCGCUGUGAAAUCUCGAGGCUCAACUUCGAGCUGUCGGUGGAAACUGUCUGGCUAGAGUCCGGAAGAGGAGAAUGGAAUUCCUGGUGUAGCGGUGAAAUGCGCAGAUAUCAGGAAGAACACCCGUGGCGAAGGCAAUGUUCUGGCUCGUUUCUGACGCUCAGGUGCGAAAGCCAGGGGAGCGAACGGG
rnacentral:rRNA from 1 species